AAUUGUUAAACGGAUAUAAUCCAGGCUGGUUAUCAACUCGUGGACCUGUGGUGGUUUCAGUUGUGUGACUGCACAGAGUGGAUGACUUAAUUCAGUGUUUAUAUUAGUGUUUUGUUGCUGCACAUGAGAGAUCUCCGGUGGGGGAGGGGAUUCAGGCCUACUUCAACGGAGAUUGAGCGUAAGUUAAUUUAAAAUAUGUUUUGAAGACUGUUAUAAUGUAAAAUAAUACAGUGUAAUACAUGUAUGGAAGGAACAUGCAGUAAUUGUUGUGUAUUAUACUGUUAAGAGGGGAGAACAAUGAUGUGAGAUCGCACAUGUGCCAGUUUCCAUGUGAUUGAUAAUCCAGAGGCUCAUAUAAGAGCACAUAUAGGCCACUGCCAUUGUUUUGCACACCUUUAUUGGUUCUUUAACAUUGGUUGCAUUAUUUCAAGUCAAAUUGGGCUUGUGAUCUGGUGUUUUGAUUAGGGGUUAUUACUGUAAAGAACUUAUUUUUAUUCUUUACAUUUCUUCUACUACCUUAUUUCGUUUUCUGUGCCCAUUGAAGUGAAUUGGGUGUUUGUUUUGUUAUUCUAUUUUAUACGACUUCUCUUGUUCAACUGGAUCGGAAUCCUGAGAAAAAAAAAAC